rnacentral:rRNA from 1 species
GCUCAGGACGAACGCUGGCGGCGUGCCUAAUACAUGCAAGUCGAACGCUUCUUUUUCCACCGGAGCUUGCUCCACCGGAAAAAGAGGAGUGGCGAACGGGUGAGUAACACGUGGGUAACCUGCCCAUCAGAAGGGGAUAACACUUGGAAACAGGUGCUAAUACCGUAUAACAAUCAAAACCGCAUGGUUUUGAUUUGAAAGGCGCUUUCGGGUGUCGCUGAUGGAUGGACCCGCGGUGCAUUAGCUAGUUGGUGAGGUAACGGCUCACCAAGGCCACGAUGCAUAGCCGACCUGAGAGGGUGAUCGGCCACAUUGGGACUGAGACACGGCCCAAACUCCUACGGGAGGCAGCAGUAGGGAAUCUUCGGCAAUGGACGAAAGUCUGACCGAGCAACGCCGCGUGAGUGAAGAAGGUUUUCGGAUCGUAAAACUCUGUUGUUAGAGAAGAACAAGGAUGAGAGUAACUGUUCAUCCCUUGACGGUAUCUAACCAGAAAGCCACGGCUAACUACGUGCCAGCAGCCGCGGUAAUACGUAGGUGGCAAGCGUUGUCCGGAUUUAUUGGGCGUAAAGCGAGCGCAGGCGGUUUCUUAAGUCUGAUGUGAAAGCCCCCGGCUCAACCGGGGAGGGUCAUUGGAAACUGGGAGACUUGAGUGCAGAAGAGGAGAGUGGAAUUCCAUGUGUAGCGGUGAAAUGCGUAGAUAUAUGGAGGAACACCAGUGGCGAAGGCGGCUCUCUGGUCUGUAACUGACGCUGAGGCUCGAAAGCGUGGGGAGCAACAGAU